rnacentral:sRNA from 1 species
CUAUAGCCCCGAUUGCAGUGGAAAUCCUUUUUUGGACCUGACAGGUUUCUAAAACCUAUCAGGUCUAAAAAAAGAUUGUAACGGAAAGCGGGAAACUUG